rnacentral:rRNA from 1 species
UACGUAGGGUGCAAGCGUUGUCCGGAAUUAUUGGGCGUAAAGAGCUCGUAGGCGGUUCGUCGCGUCGGCUGUGAAAACCUGAGGCUCAACCUCAGGCCUGCAGUCGAUACGGGCGGACUUGAGUACUGCAGGGGAGACUGGAAUUCCUGGUGUAGCGGUGAAACGCGCAGAUAUCAGGAGGAACACCGGUGGCGAAGGCGGGUCUCUGGGCAGUAACUGACGCUGAGGAGCGAAAGCGUGGGGAGCGAACAGG